rnacentral:lncRNA from 1 species
CUCUGCAGAGUUUGACAAGCUGCAAGAGUCUCUUCACAGUCCUGAGGCUACUGCUUACCUAGAAGGACUUCAAGAGAAUGAGGCCAAGAGACCAGCUUGUUUUCUUUCAAAGAUGCACAUUACUUGGAAGUUUCACAGCUGCAGAGCUCCACAGCUAGUAAUCUGGUACAGCUUUGUCACUGAACAAUUUUUCCAUCGCAAGAAAGCAUCAUCGGUCUCAACAGACAAUAUUUG